rnacentral:lncRNA from 1 species
GGGUAAACCUAAAGAUUAAUUUUACGGAGCAAUAAUUUAAAUUUGAUAUCUUAGGGUUCUUCAACUCUCGUUCAGUCAUUCGGUGAGCCCAAGUGUUCCCUGGAAUAUAGCUUUGAAGACUCUAGAGUUGGUUUCCAUCCACAGAAUCUCAACUUAUCGUAGUGACAAAGUGACAAGACUUUUAUGCUUCAUCUUUCACUUGAAACCAUGUUUUUGCAUUAAAAUUAUUUAAAUCCGGUUCUCUUUUGUAUUUCUAAAGUUCUGUGUGUGGAUUUGGCACUUAUAUAUAGAAAAAAGCGUGUAAUAACAUAAGGCUGGAAUUGGAUAUUUCGCAUGGUGAUAAGGUUCAAGAUUUUUUGAAUAAGUUAUUUAACGAAAAUUUUAAAAG